rnacentral:rRNA from 1 species
GACGAACGCUGGCGGCGUGCUUAACACAUGCAAGUCGAACGGAGUGGCGAACGGGUGAGUAACACGUGGGUGAUCUGCCUUGCACUUCGGGAUAAGCUUGGGAAACUGGGUCUAAUACCGGAUAGUGCAAGAUGAGCUCGCGGCCUAACAGCUUGUUGGUGGGGUAAUGGCCUACCAAGGCGUCGACGGGUUGCCGGCCUGAGAGGGGGUACGGCCCACUGGGGACUGGGUGUCCGGCCAGACUCCUCCGGAGGCCUGCGGUGGGGAUAAUUCCACAAGGGCCGAAGCCUUGUGGCGCGAACGCGCGUGGGGGAUGAAGGCCUUUGGGUUGGUAACCCCUUUCGACAGGGACGCGGUACCUGUAUAAGAAGCACCGGCUAACUACGUGCCAGCAGCCGCGGUAAUAC